UACGAAGGGGGCGAGCGUUGUUCGGAUUUACUGGGCGUAAAGGGCGCGUAGGCGGCCCUCCUUGUCGCGUGUGAAAGCCCCGGGCUCAACCUGGGAACGGCGCGCGAGACGGGGGGGCUGGAGUUCGGGAGAGGAGCGUGGAAUUCCCAGUGUAGAGGUGAAAUUCGUAGAUAUCGGGAGGAACACCGGUGGCGAAGGCGGUUCUCUGGGCCUGACCUGACGCUGAGGAGCGAAAGCGUGGGGAGCGAACAGG
rnacentral:rRNA from 1 species